ensembl:ncRNA mir-308 mir-308 stem loop
CUCGCAGUAUAUUUUUGUGUUUUGUUUCGUUUUGCAAUCCAAAUCACAGGAUUAUACUGUGAG